rnacentral:lncRNA from 1 species
ACAAUUAUCUCACAGGCCACAUACCACGCUCGAUUGGAAAAUUGACUGUGCUGGAGUCACUAGACCUCUCAUCCAACCAACUUAAAGGAGAAAUUCCUCCGCAGCUCACUAGUGUAUAUUCACUUGCAGUUCUCAAUCUGUCUUGCAACCAACUUAGAGGACGUAUUCCAGAAGGGUGGCAAUUCGAUACGUUUGAAAACAGCAGCUACGCUGGUAACUUUGGGCUGUGCGGACAUCCCUUGUCGAAAAAGUGUGAAUCUUAUGUUAAAACACAAGAAGAAGACGAAGAAGAUGAGGAUGAAUGUCACUUUUUCAGUGGUUUUACUUGGGAAGCGGUGGUGAUUGGAUAUGGGUGUGGAGUGGUGCCUGCAUUUAUUAUUGGGUACCUGAUGUUGCUGGCACAGAAACCAAAAUGGUUUGCUGGAAUCAUUGGCAGGGAAUUGGGCCUGAAGAUGAGGAGGAUGGAGAUUAGAAUGCGAUAACUAAAGGUUUGCUGUAAUCUGUAUCCCAUUCCCAGGUCUUGAAUAUUCUGUGAUAAUAUAGUAAUAUCUGGUCUCAUAUAAUUCUAUAUUUGCACCUGUAGACGUUUACAGAUUGGAGAGGCAUGAACAUUUUGGCAUGCAAGUUGAUGGGAAAAGCAGGAUUCAAAUGCAUUGGAAUCAACAACUGCGGUGUUGUAGGCAGCCAAGUUAAUAAACCACUACUUCAGCUGUUUUGCAUCUUCUGUGAUUUUAAAUUUUACAUUUUACAAUAUAAGUCAAAAGAUACAAGUUCAAUAUACAAGUUUUGUUUUGUUUAGUUCCAGCCUAUAAACACUUCAGUAGAUACCAGAGGAGAAAUGGAUACAAUCAAUGUCGGAAUUGGUCUUUAUAGUUGAAACAAAGACUACCAGAUCAUUACCAAUAUCAACUAGGCAUGUUGUUUAACGGGGAACUCAUAACUGGACAAUAAUUUUAAUAAUUUAGAAUUUGUGUAAUUUAUUACUGGUCUAAAGGACACGGGAUGGGUUUGCAAUAGUUAUUUGGAAACAGCUUGCUUAGAUAAAUGGACAGUGUUUUAUAAUAAUAGAGUCCGGGGCCUAUCAAGUGAUUGUUAGAGCAAUUUAUCUACUGUUUUUUAUAGCGGAAAAACAUAAACACUUGGUUUUUUAGUGCAUGCAGAGGGUCCAUCAGUCCAUCCGCAAUUUACACACUCAUUAUUCCAGGAUUCUCUGUUUCAUGGUAUUCUGCUGUGUAAAGAACAAUCACUUGUCAGGACCACCUCCCAUAAUCACAAGAGAUUCUAUAGGAAAAGAAGCAACAGACAUGGUUGGAUUGUUUGUUUUCUGUAUUCUUCUGCUAAAAGGCUACCCUUUUAAAGUCUCUUUUAUAUAUAAAGAUACAAAAAAAAAAAAAAAAAUCAUACUAAUAAAGAUUCUUUUUGGCUCCUCCAGAACUGGCCAGUUUUUCCUUAACUUUGCUUCUCCCACAUAAGACUAUAAGAAUAUUACAAUGAAAUAGUUGAUUAUCGUUGAACUUGCCAAUCUGUUGACUUGGUAAUUUGAAUUUGAUAAGCUCUGAAUUGUAAGUAACGAGGAACAAGAUGACAUGAUGGUAAAUAGAAAAUACAAGAUGUCCAUCAACAUAGCAAAGAAAUAUUUUUCAGCCGGACGACAUAUCAGGAUGUUCAUUACUAAAACAUGUUUGCUGAUGCUUUAUAAUGUACAAUUUACAAUAUAUCACAGGUUGUAAUAUACACUACUAGAUGAUUUUAUGGCCUGUUUAUCCUUAAUCGCUAUCAUGAACUAAUGAAAAUUUAUAAAAGUGGAUCACAUUUGCAGUGAUGCCGCUAUUUUUCCUGAAUUUCCCUAGUUGUGAAGAUUCCCUAGUUGUGAAGAUUGUCUAAAUCAUGUUAGAGUCGCUGCCAUCAGUGAAUGCAUUCAAUGGCUUACUGAAACUGGUAGAGAUACUAAAUUGCAAGAUGACAGAGUGUCCAUGCGUCAUUUUAAGGAUCAAGAUGUGUAGCUGUGACUUGUAUUUUAAAAUUGCAAGAUGUUUUACAAUGGUAGCAGAGGAGGGCUGGGGAUUUAUUGGGUCAGUUCGAAGCACACAAGUAGAAUUGGUUGUGGCAGAGCAAGAAGCUGAGCACGACCAUAAGAAUUUGAACUCUGAGGCUAAUUUGACUCUACUUGUACAAGUUAAUAUAUGAUGGCACAAGUUAAUAUAUGAUGGCAGCAAAGGAGUUUCUUACAUGCGCCAGUUUACAGUUCUUAGAAACAUCUUAUUAUGCUUAUUUGUACUAAACAGAUAUUAGUAGUCCACCAGAAACAAGGAGAUUUGAUAUAUCCCGGACUCUGAGGCCGGUGACAGUCUAUGAGAGGGCAUGUAAUCGAUGGAACAAGGAGGAUUCAGAUACAUUGGAUUCAUUAACAGAACUUCUUCAGAGCCGGAGUCACUUCCAGAUGCUCUCUUCUGGUAGAUAUCUAUUGGAGAAGUAAAAACAUCUCAUAAUCAUCAUUCAGCACUUGCUCUGAGUUUGUUGAUCAACCAUGCGAUGUUGAAGGCAGCUCUUAUCUUAUCUGCAAUCAAGUUAAUGAACCACCACCUCAGUUGUUAAGCAUCUUUCACCAUUUUACAUUUUACAACUCACAAUAAAAGAUUACAUGUGUAUUAAUCUGAUCAUCAUUUGUUUGAUCAAUAUAGAAGUUCGGCUCUGUUUACUUCUAUCCCUGGCUCUUCAUUUCUAGAACAUUGUUGAUACUUUUUAUUGAAUGGUUAAGAAUAUUCCAUAGAUUUUUAUAUUCAGUGCUAGAUGAUUUUAUGUCCUGUUUUCAUUCCAUUCAUGAACUAAUUAAAAAUUUGAAAGUGAUGCCCACCUUUCUGGACCUGCAUUCCAUGACCACAAACUCCAAUUCUGCCCAAAAAUUGCAGCUGUUUCGUAAUAUUUUUCUACGUGUUCUUUUGUUUGGACUUGUUUGCUGGACCAUGCAUAUUGUUUUGAUACAAACAUCUUUGUUGAUGUUAACACUCAUUGUUAGUAGCCCAUUCUUUACGGCAGACAUUGAAUUGGAUUUACUUGAAGAAAUGAAGGUUUAAGAAAGUUCAGAGCAAUUUGUUGAUUAUUUCCUUCCCUAGAAACUGCACUCCAGCAUCAAAGUACCUUUCAAAGACUCUACACAUAAUCUCUUGAUUAUCAAAGACUUGGUCUUGCAUAUACUGAUAUACACUGAAUAUAGGUUUCUUUCAUUUCCUUGAAAUUGCAUUUUUCGAAGUAACUCUCCAGACUCAUUCCCGUCACUUCUCAAAGUCUUAGUCCUCAUCAAUACAUUCACAUAAUAUCACACCAAUUUGCUCAUGCUCAGAUGGGCUUUUCUUACAAACCACAUAUGUUCACUUCUCAGAGUCUUAGUCCUCGUCAAUGUAUAGAGAUAAUAUCUCACCAUUUGCUAGUGCUACAAAUCAGUUUCUCCUACAACCACACAUAAUCGGAGAAAAGUCUGUCAAGUGUCAAGUGGACUUGAAAGACCCUUCUGCAUGGAUUAUUGUAUGUCAUGAAUGCCUUCUGAUAUCCCUGAAAGUGCAAGCAAGUUAUAAAAGUAGCUGGGCAGACUCUUUCUCAUCAAUACAUUCACAUUCAAAGCGGGCGUUGAUAUGCCUCCCUAAUUUUCUAAUGCCCUAGACGGAAUUCUAUUACAAUCCACAUAUGAUGGGUAGCGAUCAUCAAUUCAAAGAAGACACUAUCAGCAGCUUGCAGGAAAUGACCCCUCUGCAUGGAUUAUCGAAGAAAGAAACUUAUACCUAUAAAGCUGUAGAAAACCAAUGGUAAGCAUAACUGCAUAUAAGAUACAAAACUAAAUUUAAUACAAGACUCGUUCUGAGCAUUGGAAAAUAUGCUUUUAUUGCAGCCAAUGUAUUAGUGAAAAGAAUUAAAUUUAAAUUAAUUGUAGACUGCAAAUAUAAGAUUAGGAGAGUUUCUACAACCCACAAAUUAGUAGACAGACUAAUAUGAUUAGUUGAGACCAUCAAUCUGGAGAAACUGUUUCUACAAUGACCCAUCUGUAUGAAUUAUUGAAGAAAGAAACUUAUACCUACAAUGUAAAGGAAAUAAUCACGAGUAUAUUGCAUUUUUAAUCCAAAUUGUAUAUGAUUCUAUCUGUGCUACUGAUAGUAAAUAAUAAAUCUACAACGGGCCUUGCAGUUAAUCAAGGUAUUUAACUCUACCUUUCUACAUUGUUGAAUAGUUUGAAUAAAAUAAUUGUAAUAAAUUUUUUGCUGGAUGCUGUGUGAGUUUACCAGAGCUUAUCUUGGUGAGAAGUCUGAGUACAAGGCAAUGAGCAGGAAACAACAUAGGGAGUUUACAACUAGAAGUAUCUAUUCUCCCCUAGUCUUUUUGUGAACAUCAAGAGGCCAUUCAUUUUGCUCACAAACCAGUUAAAAAUGGCAGGACUACACAUAAUGAAUCACGCAGUCACUUUAUGUGAGAAAAGAAAAAUGUCAGGACAGCAGCUCAAACGUUUAAAAAACUUCAUUAAUUAUUUUCUUUUAUUGAAACCACACUCAUCCAUCAAAGUAGCUCUCAAAGACUAAUUUCCAUCACCUUUUGAUUCUCAAAGUCUUCUUCUUCGUCUUUUACUGCUCCUAAAGUUCUUCCAUUGCAAGCCACAUAUUAGUAGACAUACUACAUCAACUCUGUGGAAAGAAACAAUCUAUACUUGAUCUUGAUGUACAAUGUUAUGAUGUAAAUGUAUAAUAUCAAAAUUAGGAAUAGUAGUCACGCGCUAAUUAAUAACCCUCUGCAGGGGUUAUUAAAGAAAGCAACUUAUAGUUUAAGUUGCUGAACAUUUGUGUGUGCCAAAUUUAAUUUCACACAUCAUUACUAGAUUUACACAUGGUAUUAGACAUCAGUACUAGUAUAAGAUGUUAAUCAAGUUUUAUAAUUUCUUUUAUUUCAGAUAACAAGUUUUUUUUUUUGUGGAAUUAAUUAUUUAUAUCAUGCAUUUGAGCUUUAAAAUUAGCUCUACAUAAAAGUUGGUCUAUUGCAGUAGACACUAAAAUGAUUUCGCUCAAAGAAACAAUGAUGUAUAUGAAGAUUUUCAGAACUGAAUUUCUUUCUAUUUCUAAAAAUUGCAUUCAAGAACCGAAAGUAGCUCACAAAGACUCAUUACAUCAUCUUUCAAUUCUCAUUGUCUUGGUCUUUGUCUUCUACUGCUCAAAAUUCUAUUACAGCCCACAUAUCAGUAUCAUAUACCUAAUCAUAAAUAGUAUUUAAUAUUUAACACAAUUGAAGAUUUGUCUCAGAGACUUACUUCCAUCACCUUAUGGUUCUCAAAGUCUUCGUCUUCUAAUGCUCCAAAAGUUCUAUUAGUUCAGGCCACAUAUUAGUAAACAGACUACAAUUCAUCCAAAAUGACCCCUCUUAUUGGACACUUUGAACACCUCUAUCUGUAUAUGCAUUGGAGAAGAAUUAUCAGCUAGUUAAAAUAACCUCUUCGCAUCAACUCUAUCGAAAGAAGCAAUUCAUACCUAAAGUACAAUGUUUGGAUAAAAUCAGGAAUAGCAACUGCACGCUAAUUUUUUAGUUGAAGCAGGCUACCUUGGUGUAAUUCAGUGAACAUCCCCGUAAUUUCUUGACAGGCCACAAUUAAGGAAGUUCACAGAAUUAAAUUCCAGAAGUAGCUCCCUGAGACAGAUUUGCAUCAUCUUUCCAUCCUCAAAGUUCUUUACACUUAUAUUAUAUUUCAUGUUUUAUUGUAAUGAACAUAGCAGUUUCCUGUUCAGUAAUAUUCCAGGCUCAGGUUCUUCAUUCCUAGUCUCUGUUACAUGUUUGCCACUAAAACGUAUUGAACAGUUAUUAGUUUAUGAUUGUAUUCCAUCUUGAAAGGAGAUCUCAAAGACUCAUUCCCAUAAUCUUAAGAAUCUCAAGUCUUGAUGAACUUGGCCUUCAUCAUAUUUGUACUCUUGUAAUUCCAUAUUAAUGAAGUUUAAAUAUUUAUUUCAAAAAAAAAUGAAGUUUAAAUAUUAAAAUUUUUAAUUUUAGUAAAUUUGUAAAAAUAGUAAAAUUUGUCUUAUUUAUAAUAUUAAUAAAUCUCUUACUUUCUCGUUACUGUAUUCAACUUAAUAAUUCUUACAAACACUUGUAAGUGCAUCACAUAAGUUAUGUAAAUUCAGAAUAAAUUAUGUCCGAUUUCUUUAAGAGAGAUUGUUAUAUUGUUUUUACUUUAAAAAUUGAAUUAUCUUUUAUUUUUAAUAUAAUUUACAACUAAAAAAUAUUUAAUAUAUUUUCUUAUUUUUGUAAUAUGACUAAACAUAUCUUAAAUACACCUUUUUCCUAUAUAUAUAUAUAUAUACAUCUAUUAUAUUUUUUAUGAAAUAUAAUUACAAAUUUUGAUUAUUAAACCGAAAACGAAGUUAUACAAUUUUUUUAUUUCAAAGAUCAUCUAAUAUAUCAUGUAAUAUCUCAACAUGAUUCUAUAACAGAAUAAUAAUCAUUCAGAAUUAUUCUGUUGUAGAAUCAGUUUCGAAACUAUACUUUUUUUUAUCAAAUUUUAAGUGUUAAAUUACUUAAAAUAGAUAUAUUUUAUAGUAUUCUAUAUUAGAAUCACGUUUUAUAUGUAUUUUAUAGCAGAAUUUAUAAUAAAAUUGAUGAUUUAUAAUGCCGCACUAUGUAACUUCAUAUAAAGAGUCCCUUUCUGGAAUGUUGGCAUAUAUAUAUACUAGCUUAAAACCCGUGCAAUGCACGGGCGGUUAUGAUAUUUAUUAUUUUAUCGUAUAUAUUCCAGAUUUAACUAAUUUUAUUGAAAUUAAAAUUGUGAUAGAAUAAUGUGAUUAAAUAAAACAUUUAUUUAACGACUGAAAAAUUCUUAAUAGUUAAAUCCGUCAAAUAGCUAAUUUAAAAUUAAGUCAAAUAUAUAUUUUAAUAAAAAUGUUAAAAUAUAUUAUAUUUUUUAUAUGUUAUAAUUCAAGAAGACACAUAAACCUAGAUAUAAACAACCCAAUCAACCUUUUAAUAUUUUGUUAUUAAUAAUAUAGAACAAAUCCUUAAAAUAGAAUCAGAUAAGUAUAAAACAUAUUGUAAGCUAAAGGGAAGUGUACUGAUCCAUAACACUAACCUAAUUUAUUUAUUUUUAAACAGCACUAACCUAAUUUAUAAAUUAAGGAGGUCCAUGGAUCAAAUAUGAACCGGUUUAUAAAACUCGACCGACCAACUGAACUUUUCAGUUUAUGUUUUAAUAGUACAAUAAUAUAUAGUAUAGUAUAGAUUUGUAAUUUUAACUUUUAAAUUUAGAUCAGUAGAGCAUUUAAAGUAACGUUAAUAUAUUUUGAUCGACAAAUAUCGCCAUUUAUUUAAUAAUAUUGUUAUAUUUUUAUAUAUAUGUCGCCCGUGUUAAUUGUAGUAGAUCAAUUUUUUCAGUCAGUAAAUCUUAAAAAAAAAAUGUGUUUUAGUUAAAAAGGUAAUUACUAUUGCUCGAUGUUAUUUUAGAAAAUUGUGUUUUUUUAGUUAGAAAAUAUAAAAAAGAUAACAUAUUCUAGUUUAAAAGAAUAUUUAGUUAUAUAGAUAGGCCUGUAUUUCGGCCCAAAGUUAAAAAGAAUACUCCCUCCGUCCCCUCCAAUUCUUAUCGUUUGGAAUGGAGUGCUCGGCACGCAUUUUAAGACUCAUAUAAAGUAUAGUUCCAUAACUCAUUUUCAUAAUUCUCUUUUUCUGAAUAAAAAUUUAAACAUUACAUUUUUAUUUAAAAAAAGAAAAUUUUAAAAAUAAGUUAUGGAACUAUACUUUAUAUAAGCCUUAAAAUGCGUGCCGAGCACUCCAAUCCAAAUGAUAAGAAUUGGAAGAGACAGAGGGAGUAAUUAGUUAUGUCGAUAGACCCGUAUUCGGUCCAAUUACUUACAUACCAUAACUUUCAAUUUUCGAUUUUAAUAAUAUAGUAAACCUUAAAAAAGAUAAUGUAUUUUAGUUAAAAAGGUAAUAACUAUAUUGUUCGAUGUUAUUUUAUAAAAUUGAGUUUUUUAGUUAGAAAAUAUAAAAAAGAUAACAUAUUAUAGUUAAAAAGAAUAAUUAGUUAUAUAAAUAGGCCUUAUUUCGGCCUAAAGUUAAAAAUAAUAAUUGGUUAUAUAGAUAGGCCCGUAUUUCGGCCCAAAUUUUGACCGAUCAAACUUUCAAUGUUCGUAAUUACUGUUGCUCGAUGUUAUUUUAGAAAAUUGAGUUUUUUUAGUUAGAAACUUUAAAAAAGAUAACAUAUUCUGGUUUAAAAGAAUAAUUAGGUAUAUCGAUAGGCCUGUAUUUCGAUUUUCGGCCCAAAGUUAAUAAGAAUUAUUAGUUAUGUCGAUAGGCCCGUAUUCGGUCGAAUUACCGACAUACCAAACUUUCAAUUUUUUAUUUUAAUAGUAUAGUGAACCUUAAAAAAGAUAACGUAUUUUAGUUAAAAAGGUAAUAACUAUAUUGUUCGAUGUUAUUUUAGAAAAUUGAGUUUUUCUAGUUAAAAAAUAUAAAAAAGAUAACAUAUUAUAAUUAAAAAAAUAAUUAGUUAUAUAAAUAGGCCUUAUUUCAGCCCAAAGUUAAAAAUAAUAAUUAGUUAUAUAGAUAGUCCCGUAUUUCGGCCGAAAUAUCGACCGAUCAAACUUUCAAUGUUUCAGUUUUAAAAAUAUAGUAUAGCUUUCGGCCCAAAGUUAAAAGAAUAAUUAGUUCUACAGAUAAGCCCGUACUUCGGCCCAAGUACCGACCGACCGACCAAACUUUUAAUGUUUCGGCUUUAAUAGUACUAACUUAUAGCCCGUGCAAGGCAUGGGAGCUUUUUAGUAAUUUAUAAACUUUUUAAAUAUAUUUUAAAUUAUGUGAAAAUUUUUAAUUUACAAAUAAUAAAUUAAAAUUUUCAAUUAAAUAAAAUUUGAAAUUAUGAUUUGUUUGCAAUUCCGAACUUUUGUAAAAAUAUAUAAUUUUUAUAUGAUGUUGGUACAAUUUAAAAUUUUAUCUUAAAUUUUAGUUGAAUCUAAUACAAAAUAUUAGUUUCCAUGAUUUAUUAGUUAUGAAUAACUUAAGCUAACGUAUUCGUCUUUAAUAAUAAAAAUAUUUAAUAGCAUGAGGUAAUGCAUAUUUGCAUAUAAUUUUUCAUUUUUCUUUUUUAAUAUAUAUACUUGAAUAAAAAUAUUUAUUUUAAAAAUAUUUUUAUGUUAAAUUAUUAAUCUUUAUAUAUAAAAUAUAUUCCCUACGGGCUACGUCCCAUCAUAUUAUUUAGAGUUUUUUUUUUGGGAUGUACCAUCAAAUUCUUUACAUUUCAAAACUUACCAAAUAGGUCCCACCACUACACAACUUUUCCUACCUUUUCACACUACUUUUACUCCUUUUUCACAAUACCUUUACUCUACUAUCUUCUUUUUAUACAUUAAAAAUUAAUAGGUCCCACUACUUACCCAUUUUUCUUUUUAUUUUCCACUACUUUGUACAUAUAUCUUCACCUCCGUGCCCAAACCAAACAUAAAGAUUGGCUGGGACGGAAGGAGUAUUCAUUAAUAAUUUGAAUAACAUGCAUGCAAAUAGAAGGCAUAACAUGUCUGGAUUAGGAAAAUUUGUUAAAAAUAUGCGUUAUAUUUUUCACACUUGUUUCUAAUUUGGAUAAAAAUAUUUUUGUGAUCGUGCAAUUUGUAUGAUUCUACAAAUAAAAAUGGGAAUAUUUAUUUUAGAUUAAAAUAACAUAAACACGUGAAAGAAAUAAUUUGUUUUGGAUUCAGAAAAGAAGAUAUCAGUUGCCUAGCUGCCUUAUAAGUUCUAAUCUAACAGUGCUUAUUUGAUCAAUAUACGAUCUAACGGAUGAUAAGCUUUUGGACCAGAGGACCAUGCGACCAAAUUAUCUCCCUUACGCUUAUUAUAUAAUACUAGCUUAUAGCCCGUGCAAGGCACGGGAGCUUUUUAAUUAUUUAUAAAUUUUUUAAAUAUAUUUUAAAUGGUGUGAAAAAAUUAAUUUAUAAAUAAUAAAUUAAAAUUGUACAUAUCAUGCCAAAGUAUUAAAUUCUUUCUAUCAAAUUUUAAACCAACUCCUAUUAGAUUAUAUUUAUAAAAGUUCUAAUCUAACAGUGCUUAUUUGAUCAAUAUACGAUCUAACGGAUGAUAAGCUUUUGGACCAGAGGACCAUGCGACCAAAUUAUCUCCCUUACGCUUAUUAUAUAAUAUAGCUUAUAGCCCGUGCAAGGCACGGGUGCUUUUUAAUUAUUUAUAAACUUUUUAAAUAUAUUUUAAAUGGUGUGAAAAAAUUAAUUUAUAAAUAAUACAUUAAAAUUGUAUUCUCAAAAUGGUGUGAAAAAAUUUAAUUUAUAAAUGUUAAAUUAAAAUUGUAUGUAUCAAUGCCAAAGUAUUAAAUUCUUUCUAAAUUUUAAAUUAUUUUAAGUAGUGUGACGCCAACUCCUAUUAGAUUAUAUUUAUAAAUGUAUUUUAUAUUAGAAUUAUUAUAAUGUGAUUUAAAUAUUUUUCUAAAAAUUUUUAUGGUUCGAGAUUAAAAUUGAUAAACACAAUUUGUUUUGAAUUAAGAAGAUGAAUCAUAAACAUGCAAUAAGAUGGUAGAAUUUGCUUUGGAUUAAAAAAUUUUUUUUGUAUUUGUUCCUCACAUAAAUCGGGCUUAUUAAUUUUGAAAUAUAUUAGGUAAAAAUAAUUUUGUGACUGUGCGAUUUAUAUGAUUCUACAAAUAAAAUUGGUAGAAAAUAUUUAUUUUGGAUCAAAAAAAAUCAUAAACACGGGAAAUACUUAAUUUGUUUUGGAUUCAGAAAAGGAUUUAUAAACAUGCAAGUAGAUAUCAGUUGUGUUAUGGAACAAAAGUUAAUUUUGUUCUAAUCCAACGGUGCUUAUUUGUUCAAUAUACGAUCCGAUGGAUAAAAAUAAUCUUGUGACGGUGUGAUUUAUACGAUUCCACAAUUAAAAUUUGUAGGAAAUAUUUAUUUUGAAUUAAAAAAAAACAAAAACACAUGAAAGACAGAAUUUGUUUUGAAUUCAGAAAAAGAAUUAUAAACAUGCAAGUAGAUGUCAGUUUCCUUAUAGAACAGAAUUUAAUUUUGUUCUAAUCUAACGGUGCUUAUUUGUUCAAUAUACGAUCCAACGGCUUUUGGACCACAGGACCUUGCGACCAAAUUAUCUCCCUUACGCUUAUUAUAUAUAAGUAUAUAAUAAGUAUAUAAUAGUAUAGAUAUGCUAGUCUUAAAUAUAUUUUUUUCCUAUAUAUAUGCUAGCCUCUUGAGACGUGAUCAUCCCAAACAAAAAAAUUUAACGGAAAAAGAAAAUGAGGAAUUCCAUCCUCUGUUUUUCCACCAUCUGUUUGUUGCUCAUCUUCCUGCAGUUGCAGCACAACCUAGUGGCUUGUUCAUUAAGCCCCCACUUGCAGAAACUUGCCUUGUUCCAUUUUAACCAAACCUUAACAAUCAGUACUACUAGCUGGGAUUGCGAAUACGUUUCCUACGAAGAGAAUGCAGUGUAUGAAAUUCCUUCACGGGCAAAGACAAAGAAUUGGAGCAUGAGUUCUGAUCACUGCACAUGGGAUGGAGUUAGCUGCGACGACAAGACAGGGGACGUUAUCGGACUGGAUUUAAGUUGCAGUCAGCUGGAAGGAGCCAUUCUUCCUAACAGCGCUCUCUUCCAGCUCUCUCAUCUCCGCUUCCUCAAUCUUUCUCAAAACGACUUUUACCUCGCCAGUCAGUUCCCUCAGGAAUUUGGUUUCUUUGCAAAAGGUUUGACGCAUCUCAACCUCUCUAAUACUGGAUUAUCAGGGAGAGUUCCCUCGGGAAUCUCUCAUUUGUAUAAACUUGUCUCACUUGAUCUCAGUGACAACUCAGUCUCACUUGAUCUCAGUCAGAACUAUGAGGCUAAACUUGAAGAAGAAGUGUUUAAAUCAGUGUUGCAGAAUUUAACUCAUCUUGAAGUGCUUAAUCUUAAUGGAGUUAAGAUCUCCUCUGUUUUGCCCCUGAAUAUCUCUACUUCUUUAAGAGUUCUUCAAUUGAGGUAUACUUAUAUACACGGAGUAGUACCCCAAGAGGUUUUCCACCUUCCCAACUUGGAAUUACUUGAUUUAUCACUUAAUGACGACCUGAGAGCAACAUUACCCAAAGUUAAGUGGGGAAGUAAAGUUACUCUCCAACACCUUCAUCUUUCAUACAUCAACAUAGAUGGAGGUAUACCUGACUCAAUAGGCUUUUUGGAGUCAUUAGUCAGUUUGGAUUUGAGCAGCUGUAAUUUGUCUGGGCCUAUACCAAGAUCCAUUGGGCACCUCGUUCAACUUACUCGCUUGGACCUCUCUCAAAAUAUUCUCAAUGGCCCAGUUCCAACAUUUUUUACAGACCUUACAGACUUAAGAUAUAUCUCCCUUUGGCAAAACAAUUUCACUGGAUCCCUACCUCGUUCGUUGUUUCACCAUCCAUCCUUAGAGUCCUUGUCUCUGGAUAAUAAUGCAUUCACGGGUCAACUACAUGAAUUUGAUUCUUCUCGCUCACGGCUGCAAUCUUUUUCUUGUUCCAACAAUUCACUCUAUGGAUCCAUUCCACAUUCUUUUUCUCAGCUUGUGAAUCUCACUGUCCUAGAUUUGUCAUCAAACAAUUUCAGCGGGGUUUUGGAUUUGGAAAUGUUUUCAGGCCUCGAAUCUCUAAAACGUCUUCAUCUUUCUGAUAACAGUCUUUCAGUGAGAAGUACAAUUAUGGCCACUCUCCCUCCUAAUCUUUACUCCUUGGGCUUGUCAUCUUGCAACAUGAAAGAGUUCCCCCACUUUUCAAGAGAUGCAAACAUCUCCCUGAAUCUUAUAGACCUAUCAAACAAUAAAAUUGAAGGGGAAAUUCCACACUGGAUUGGGUCGGUGGGGGAUUUCUAUGGAAUCCCUUAUCUGAAUCUAUCUCACAACAAACUAAUAGGCGGUCUUGAGCAACUGCCUUGGGGUUAUAUUCAAUAUCUUGAUCUCCAAGACAACAAGCUGAAUGGCUCCUUGCCCACCUUGAUGUGUAAUUCCAGCUCUCUUGAGAUUCUAAAUCUCUCUCACAACAAUUUGAGUGGUGUACUCCCCAUUUGUCAUACAAAUUUGACUCAGCUUUCGGUGUUGGAUCUGCGGAGGAAUAAAAUUCAAGGAAUCAUUCCAGCAACCUUGUCAAAUUUCCGUUAUCUGGAAACUAUUAAUUUGAAUGGAAACCGCUUACAAGGAAGCAUUCCUUCUUCUUUUGCUGAAUUAGAUUCUUUAGCCGUCCUUGAUCUUGGAAAUAAUCAGAUAAAUGAUACAUUCCCCCUGUGUUUGGAAGCUCUUCCAAAACUCCAAGUUCUUGUUCUCAAAUCAAACAAGUUUCAUGGUAUAAUAAACCAGAGUUCUGAGACAAAACACCCAUUUCCUAGCUUAAGAAUCAUUGAUCUUUCGUACAAUGAGUUUUCAGGUGCACUGCCAGAAAAAUAUUUUAGAAACUUCAAGGCUAUGAUGAAUGCGGAAGUGAAUAAGAUAAAUCGUAGCUAUAUGGAGCAUCGGUAUUACAGUGAUUCCACAGCUCUGGUGAUUAAAGGCAUGGAUAUUGAUUUACAUAGAAUUUUGACUGUGUUCACAACUAUUGAUGUAUCAAAGAACAAUUUUGAUGGGGGGAUAGCUGAAUACUUUGGAAAUCUAGUAUCACUCAGAUUUCUUAAUCUUUCUCACAAUUAUCUCACAGGCCACAUACCAUGCUCGAUUGGAAAAUUGACUGUGCUGGAGUCACUAGACCUCUCAUCCAACCAACUUGAAGGAGAAAUACCUCAGCAGCUCACUAGUGUAUAUUCACUUGCAGUUCUAAAUCUGUCUUGCAACCAACUUAGAGGACGUAUUCCAGAAGGGUGGCAAUUCGAUACGUUUGAAAACAGCAGCUACGCUGGUA